rfam:Triticum aestivum genome assembly, contig: Triticum_aestivum_CS42_TGACv1_scaffold_288772_4AL
GCCGAGCUCGGUUACGAGAGCUUGUAACCCGAGUGGGGGCAUUAAGGUGGUGUGGACGCUGUUGUAGCGCUGCAGGCCUGGUCUGGGUGUGCUACUGCUGGCCCGCCCGUUCCAAGUUGAGUAGUGGACCGCCUGGGGCCUAAGCGAAAGCUAGGCCUCACGGUCCAUAAUGUGGUAGGCACAGCGUGAGGCUGGCUUCACAGAGCAGCGAUAACUGCCCGCUUCCAACGGUGGAAGGAUAACGGGCCGCUGCACUCCUAGACCACUUGGGCCUCGCAGCCUACUCCAACGGACCAUCACUUUU